GACGGAGGAUGCAAGCGUUAUCCGGAAUGAUUGGGCGUAAAGCGUCCGUAGGUGGUUUGGCAAGUCUGGGGUUAAAGCCCGGAGCCUAACUCCGGAUCGGCCCUGGAAACUGCCAGACUAGAGUAAGGUAGGGGUUGCGGGAAUUCCCGGUGUAGCGGUGAAAUGCGUAGAUAUCGGGAAGAACACCAGUGGCGAAAGCGCGCAACUGGGCCAUUACUGACACUGAGGGACGAAAGCUAGGGGAGCGAAUGGG
rnacentral:rRNA from 1 species